UGUGGUUGGCGCUCAUCCUCCCAGAAUGCCAAUCAAAGCGGCCCGUCUCCUCCCCGGGUCGCUUGCAAGUUCAGCCCGUCGCGUCCUCCCCGCGGCGGGCUUGUUG
rnacentral:sRNA from 1 species